rnacentral:rRNA from 1 species
AUCAUUGGGCGUAAAGCGCCUGUAGGUUGUUUAAUAAGUCUGUUGUUAAAGACUAGGGCUUAACCCUAGGAAAGCAAUGGAAACUACUAGACUUGAGUAUGAUAGGGGUAGAGGGAAUUUCUAGUGUAGCGGUGAAAUGCGUAGAUAUUAGGAAGAACACCGGUGGCGAAGGCGCUCUACUGGAUCAUUACUGACACUCAGAGGCGAAAGCUAGGGUAGCAAAAGGGAUUAGAUACCCCUGUAGUCCUAGCCGUAAACGAUGGAUACUAGAUGUUGCGUUUAUUAUGCAGUAUCGUAGCUAACGCGUUAAGUAUCCCGCCUGGGGAGUACGCUCGCAAGGGUGAAACUCAAAGGAAUUGACGGGGGCCCGCACAAGCGGUGGAGCAUGUGGUUUAAUUCGAUGCAACGCGAAGAACCUUACCAAGGCUUGACAUACUACAAAUUUUUCUGAGAAGAAAAAGUGCCUUCGGGAAUGUAGAUACAGGUGGUGCAUGGCUGUCGUCAGCUCGUGUCGUGAGAUGUUGGGUUAAGUCCCGCAACGAGCGCAACCCUUGUUUUUAGUUGCCAAUUUAUUGGGUUUUCUAGAAAGACUGCCGGUGACAAACCGGAGGAAGGUGAGGAUGACGUCAAGUCAGCAUGCCCCUUAUGCCUUGGGCUACACACGUGCUACAAUGGCUAGGACAAAGAGUUGCGAGCUCGCGAGAGUCAGCUAAUCUCAUAAACUUAGCCUAAGUUCGGAUUGUAGGCUGCAA